UACGUAGGGGGCAAGCGUUGUCCGGAUUUAUUGGGCGUAAAGAGCGUGUAGGCGGCCAGGUAGGUCGGUUGUGAAAACUGGAGGCUUAACCUUCAGACGUCGACCGAAACCAUCUGGCUAGAGUCCGGAAGAGGAGGGUGGAAUUCCUGGUGUAGCGGUGAAAUGCGCAGAUAUCAGGAAGAACACCCGUGGCGAAGGCGGCUCUCUGGGACGGUACUGACGCUGAGACGCGAAAGCGUGGGGAGCGAACAGG
rnacentral:rRNA from 1 species